rnacentral:ribozyme from 1 species
UGCUCAGCAUCUCCUAUCCCUACCUCCUCGUGGUACUGGCCGGAGUACGAGUAACAUUGGGGAAGA